ACUUUCUAAUUAGGCAGUAAGAAGAACCGGUUCAUGAAUCGUGCCGUGUUCUCAUCAGUCAAUAGCCUGUGAAUUCCUUGUGAACAUUUCUCAAUCAAUCUCAUGUGGGCAUGAAUGUGUUCAUUCUUAUGCAUUCCUUCAAUCACUAUUUUUUAUGGCAUUGGCAUUGAACGAGCAUGAGGAGUUGCAUUUAAAAUAGAUUCCACGAACUAGAAGCGGAUGCAGGCGUUUUUCCUCAUUGUGGAUCUCUUCAGUUGAGAGAAAAUCUUUUCACAGAGUAUCACAUCAGCAAAGCUCCAAACAUUCUACCAGAAAAACCCCAAUAUAAAAUUUUGCAAUGCGCCUUUGGAUUGUUUUCUUUGUGAUUGCGGCAUUCAUCAGUGUUAUAACUGCUGGUGAUCAACGAUUCGGAACAACCAACAUAUUCAAGGAGAGGCCAAACUGUCCCCGGGGGCAAAGACCGAUCAAAGUUAAGGGAGGUUGGAGAUGUAUUAAAGCUUAAAUGAGAAUAAAAGAAACCUUUGUAUGAUGAAAUGUAAUCGAAGAAGGAAUAGUUAAAAGAUUUUAUUUUAAAAUCUCAAAUGUGACAAAAUAAAUUUCCUGUAUUAAAAACA